CCUACGGGAGGCAGCAGUGAGGAAUAUUGGUCAAUGGGCGGGAGCCUGAACCAGCCAUGCCGCGUGAAGGCGAGUGCCCUACGGGCGUUAAACUUCUUUUGUGCGGGAGCAAUAAGGGCCACGCGUGGCCCGAUGAGAGUACCGCACGAAUAAGCAUCGGCUAACUCCGUGCCAGCAGCCGCGGUAAUACGGAGGAUGCGAGCGUUAUCCGGAUUUAUUGGGUUUAAAGGGUGCGUAGGUUGUUUUUUAAGUCAGCGGUGAAAGUUUGUGGCUCAACCAUAAAAUUGCCGUUGAAACUGGAAGACUUGAGUGUGUUUGAGGUAGGCGGAAUGCGUGGUGUAGCGGUGAAAUGCAUAGAUAUCACGCAGAACUCCGAUUGUGAAGGCAGCUUACUAAGCCAUAACUGACACUGAAGCACGAAAGCGUGGGGAUCAAACAGGAUUAGAUACCCUUGUAGUC
rnacentral:rRNA from 1 species